rnacentral:tRNA from 1 species
GGAGGCGUAGCUCAGUCGGCAGAGCAACGGACUGUUAAUCCGUGGGGCGCAGGUUCAAGCCCUGCCGCUUCCG